GAUGAACGCUGGCGGCGUGCCUAAUACAUGCAAGUCGAGCGAACGGACGAGAAGCUUGCUUCUCUGAUGUUAGCGGCGGACGGGUGAGUAACACGUGGAUAACCUACCUAUAAGACUGGGAUAACUUCGGGAAACCGGAGCUAAUACCGGAUAAUAUUUUGAACCGCAUGGUUCAAAAGUGAAAGACGGUCUUGCUGUCACUUAUAGAUGGAUCCGCGCUGCAUUAGCUAGUUGGUAAGGUAACGGCUUACCAAGGCAACGAUGCAUAGCCGACCUGAGAGGGUGAUCGGCCACACUGGAACUGAGACACGGUCCAGACUCCUACGGGAGGCAGCAGUAGGGAAUCUUCCGCAAUGGGCGAAAGCCUGACGGAGCAACGCCGCGUGAGUGAUGAAGGUCUUCGGAUCGNUAAACUCUGUUAUUAGGGAAGAACAUAUGUGUAAGUAACUGUGCACAUCUUGACGGUACCUAAUCAGAAAGCCACGGCUAACUACGUGCCAGCAGCCGCGGUAAUACGUAGGUGGCAAGCGUUAUCCGGAAUUAUUGGGCGUNAAGCGCGCGUANGCGGUUUUUUAGUCUGAUGUGAAAGCCCACGGCUCAACCGUGGAGGGUCAUUGGAAACUGGAAAACUUGAGUGCAGAAGAGGAAAGUGGAAUUCCAUGUGUAGCGGUGAAAUGCGCAGAGAUAUGGAGGAACACCAGUGGCGAAGGCGACUUUCUGGUCUGUAACUGACGCUGAUGUGCGAAAGCGUGGGGAUCAAACAGGAUUAGAUACCCUGGUAGUCCACGCCGUAAACGAUGAGUGCUAAGUGUUAGGGGGUUUCCGCCCCUUAGUGCUGCAGCUAACGCAUUAAGCACUCCGCCUGGGGAGUACGACCGCAAGGUUGAAACUCAAAGGAAUUGACGGGGACCCGCACAAGCGGUGGAGCAUGUGGUUUAAUUCGAAGCAACGCGAAGAACCUUACCAAAUCUUGACAUCCUUUGACAACUCUAGAGAUAGAGCCUUCCCCUUCGGGGGACAAAGUGACAGGUGGUGCAUGGUUGUCGUCAGCUCGUGUCGUGAGAUGUUGGGUUAAGUCCCGCAACGAGCGCAACCCUUAAGCUUAGUUGCCAUCAUUAAGUUGGGCACUCUAAGUUGACUGCCGGUGACAAACCGGAGGAAGGUGGGGAUGACGUCAAAUCAUCAUGCCCCUUAUGAUUUGGGCUACACACGUGCUACAAUGGACAAUACAAAGGGCAGCGAAACCGCGAGGUCAAGCAAAUCCCAUAAAGUUGUUCUCAGUUCGGAUUGUAGUCUGCAACUCGACUACAUGAAGCUGGAAUCGCUAGUAAUCGUAGAUCAGCAUGCUACGGUGAAUACGUUCCCGGGUCU
rnacentral:rRNA from 1 species